AACUUUCAACAACGGAUCUCUUGGUUCUGGCAUCGAUGAAGAACGCAGCAAAAUGCGAUAAGUAAUGUGAAUUGCAGAAUUCAGUGAAUCAUCGAAUCUUUGAACGCACAUUGCGCCCGCCAGUAUUCUGGCGGGCAUGCCUGUCCGAGCGUCAUUU
rnacentral:rRNA from 1 species